rnacentral:rRNA from 1 species
UUGAACGCUGGCGGAAUGCUUUACACAUGCAAGUCGAACGGCAGCACGGGGGCAACCCUGGUGGCGAGUGGCGAACGGGUGAGUAAUGUAUCGGAACGUACCCAGUCGUGGGGGAUAACUAUCCGAAAGGAUAGCUAAUACCGCAUACGUCCUGAGGGAGAAAGCGGGGGAUCGCAAGACCUCGCGCGAUUGGAGCGGCCGAUAUCGGAUUAGCUAGUUGGUGAGGUAAAGGCUCACCAAGGCGACGAUCCGUAGCGGGUCUGAGAGGACGACCCGCCACACUGGAACUGAGACACGGUCCAGACUCCUACGGGAGGCAGCAGUGGGGAAUUUUGGAUAAUGGGCGCAAGCCUGAUCCAGCCAUGCCGCGUGAGUGAAGAAGGCCUUCGGGUUGUAAAGCUCUUUCGGCCGGGACGAAAUCGCUCUCGCUAAUACCGGGAGUGGAUGACGGUACCGGAAUAAGAAGCACCGGCUAACUACGU